GGACAGGAAGACUGCCCUUCUGAACCUCCUCUCUGUCAAAGGACUUCUAGGGAUUUUCAGCAUGUGGAGGAAGAUCAGAAAGUCUCCGCGGAACUUCUGCCAAGCUGCUGAAGUCACAGACUCUUCCCACACUCCCCUGGGUCUCGUCAAUUCUUAUCAAGGAUUCAGGGGUGGCAGCAGCAGCCUUCCCACUUCAGAAAAGGAAGUUGCAGAUUUGUCCUGUGACGAUGUUUGCGUGUGGUGACCACCAGAGGGAGCUACUUAAUGACCUUAAUGAUGGAGUGACGGCAGAGCAGGAAGAAGUGCCCCUUUGAACUCUUGACUCCAAGCUCCUUGAGAAAGAAGCAUAUUGCUGGGAAUGAAAGAUCUCUAAUGAGACCAAAUGGCAGAACAAGAUUUCUCACCUCUAAAGCUCUGAGCUGGAGGGACCACCAAGUAUUUCCAGACAAGGAGGAACUGUCACCUCACAUUGCUUGUGAAUCACUGCACAUCUGGUCCUCCUGCCCUGGGACAAGAACUGCAGCAGGAAAAGUCAAUGAGGACUACAUGAAGCCAAAGGAAUCGUAACAAAUGGAAAUGUGAGUGAAGAGCAUUAUAAAUGACUGAACAACUUAUUUGAAGACCCAGAGAACUCAAAGAACGGGAGCCAGGGAGUGAUCUUUUGGAAAAGAGCAUACAACUGUGGAAAAAUGGGAUAAAUCAAGGUAAGAGUUUACAAUGCAGAUGUGACUCCAAGAAUGGGCCCUGAGAAUAUCAAAUUUCCAGUCAAGACAUCAAAAUAUAGCUUUGCUCAGCUGGUUGUACCAGCAUCCUAGCACCAUAGAUAAACAGUGAUACAGAAUGUGUCAAAGCAGUCUAACAGUAGAUAGAGAGAACAGUGAGAGUUGACCAGCAUCACUGGAG